GUGGGUAGUUUGACUGGGGCGGUCUCCUCCCAAAGAGUAACGGAGGAGCACGAAGGUUAGCUAAUCCUGGUCGGACAUCAGGAGGUUAGUGCAAUGGCAUAAGCUAGCUUGACUGCGAGCGUGACGGCGCGAGCAGGUGCGAAAGCAGGUCAUAGUGAUCCGGUGGUUCUGAAUGGAAGGGCCAUCGCUCAACGGAUAAAAGGUACUCCGGGGAUAACAGGCUGAUACCGCCCAAGAGUUCAUAUCGACGGCGGUGUUUGGCACCUCGAUGUCGGCUCAUCACAUCCUGGGGCUGAAGUAGGUCCCAAGGGUAUGGCUGUUCGCCAUUUAAAGUGGUACGCGAGCUGGGUUUAGAACGUCGUGAGACAGUUCGGUCCCUAUCUGCCGUGGGCGCUGGAGAAUUGAGGGGGGCUGCUCCUAGUACGAGAGGACCGGAGUGGACGCAUCACUGGUGUUCGGGUUGUCAUGCCAAUGGCA
rnacentral:rRNA from 1 species